rnacentral:rRNA from 1 species
UACGGGGGGGGCAAGCGUUGUUCGGAUUCACUGGGCGUAAAGCGUGCGUAGGCGGUUUGUUAAGUCCGUUGUGAAAGCCCUGGGCUCAACCUGGGAAUUGCAGUGGAUACUGGCAAGCUAGAGUACGGUAGAGGAUGGUGGAAUUCCCGGUGUAGCGGUGAAAUGCGUAGAGAUCGGGAGGAACACCCGUGGCGAAGGCGGCCAUCUGGACCAGUACUGACGCUGAGACACGAAAGCGUGGGGAGCAAACAGG